rnacentral:rRNA from 1 species
CAGCCGCCGCGGGAACACGUAGGUGGCAAGCGUUGUCCGGAAUUAUUGGGCGUAAAGGGCGCGUAGGCGGACUGAUAAGUCAGGGGUGAAAUCCCAAGGCUCAACCUUGGAACUGCCUUUGAUACUGUUUGUCUUGAGUUCGAGAGAGGUAAGUGGAACUGCGAGUGUAGAGGUGAAAUUCGUAGAUAUUCGCAAGAACACCAGUGGCGAAGGCGGCUUUUUGGCCUGUAACUGACACUGAGGCGCGAAAGCGUGGGGAGCAAACAGGAUUAGAUACCCGCGUAGUCCCUGUCUCUUAUAU